rnacentral:rRNA from 1 species
AUUAAAUUUCUGCCCUAUCAACUUUCGAUGGUAGGAUAGAGGCCUACCAUGGUGGUAACGGGUAACGGGGUGUUAGGGCACGACACCGGAGAGGGAGCCUGAGAAACGGCUACCACAUCCAAGGAUGGCAGCAGGCGCGCAAAUUACCCAACCCCGACACGGGGAGGUAGUGACAAUAAAUAACAAUACGGGGUUCUUUAGGAUCUCGUAAUUGGAAUGAGUACAAUUUAAAUCUCUUAACGAGGAACAAUUGGAGGGCAAGUCUGGUGCCAGCAGCCGCGGUAAUUCCAGCUCCAAUAGCGUAUAUUAAAGUUGUUGCAGUUAAAGAGCUCGUAGUUGAAUUUCGGGGUUAGUAGGUUGGUCAUGCCUCUGGUAUGUACUGGUCUCACUGAUUCCUCCUUCCUGAUGAACCUUAAUGCCAUUAAUUUGGUGUUUUGGGGAAUUUGGACUGUUACUUUGAAAAAAUUAGAGUGUUUAAAGCAAGCUAACGCUUGAAUACAUUAGCAUGGAAUAAUGAAAUAGGACGUUCGAUCCUAUUUUGUUGGUUUCUAGGAUUGACGUAAUGAUUAAUAGGGAUAGUUGGGGGCAUUAGUAUUCAAUUGUCAGAGGUGAAAUUCUUGGAUUUAUUGAAGACUAACUACUGCGAAAGCAUUUGCCAAGGAUGUUUUCAUUAAUCAAGAACGAAAGUUAGGGGAUCGAAGACGAUCAGAUACCGUCGUAGUCUUAACCAUAAACUAUGCCGACUAGGGAUCGGAUGAUGUUAAUUUUUUAAUGACUCAUUCGGCGCCUUACGGGAAACCAAAGUGUUUGGGUUCCGGGGGGAGUAUGGUCGCAAGGCUGAAACUUAAAGGAAUUGACGGAAGGGCACCACCAGGGGUGGAGCCUGCGGCUUAAUUUGACUCAACACGGGGAAACUCACCAGGUCCAGACACAAUAAGGAUUGACAGAUUGAGAGCUCUUUCUUGAUUUUGUGGGUGGUGGUGCAUGGCCGUUCUUAGUUGGUGGAGUGAUUUGUCUGCUUAAUUGCGAUAACGAACGAGACCUUAACCUGCUAAAUAGCCAGGCUAGCUUUGGCUGGUCGCCGGCUUCUUAGAGGGACUAUUGGCGUUUAGCCGAUGGAAGUUUG